CAGGAUAGAGAAGGAGUCCGGAUAGAGUAAUGAAGUUUUGUUUAUGUAAUAGUUAGCAAUGGACAUGAUCAAAUUGUAAUGUAAAGUCUUAAUCAGUAUAGUUAUGAAAUGAGAUGAUGUUUAUGGAUGUUAGAAGUGUGCUUGACCAUAGAUUGUUGUUAUCCCUUUUAAUACAUGAUCUUAGAGAUUUUUAUGAUGUUUAUGUAAACCAACUCAACUUAUGUUAUG
rnacentral:lncRNA from 1 species